rnacentral:rRNA from 1 species
UAUGCUUGUCUCAAAGACUAAGCCAUGCAUGUCUAAGUAUAAGUGUUAUACAGCGAAACUGCGAAUGGCUCAUUAAAACAGUUAUAGUUUAUUUGGUAAUCGAAAUUACAUGGAUAACCGUGGUAUCUUCUAGAGCUAAUACAUGCAGGUUAGUCCGACUUUGCGGAAGGGCUGUAUUUAUUAGAUAACAGACCAAUAUUCCUCGUGUCUAUUGUGGUGACUCAUAGUAACUGAUCGGAUCGCAUGGCUUUGCCGCGACAAACCAUUCAAGUUUCUGACCCAUCAGCUUUCGAUGGUAGUGUAUUGGACUACCAUGGCUUUCACGGGUAACGGAGGAUUAGGGUUCGAUUCCGGAGAGGGAGCCUGAGAAACGGCUACCACAUCUAAGGAAGGCAGCAGGCGCGUAAAUUACCCAAUCCUGACUCAGGGAGGUAGUGACAAGAAAUAACGGGUCGGGGCAUUCNCCUCGGGAUUGCAAUGAAUCGAAUUUACACCCCUUAAUGAGGAUCAAUUGGAGGGCAAGUCUGGAGCCAGCAGCCGCGGUAAUUCCAGCUCCAAUAGCGUAUAUUAAAGUUGUUGCAGUUAAAAAGCUCGUA